UACGUAGGUGGCAAGCGUUGUCCGGAUUUAUUGGGUUUAAAGGGUGCGUAGGCGGUCUUAUAAGUCAGUGCUGAAAUAUCCCGGCUUAACCGGGAGGGUGGCAUUGAUACUGUAGGACUUGAGUAAAGUUUGAGGUUGGCGGAAUUGACGGUGUAGCGGUGAAAUGCUUAGAUAUCGUCAAGAACACCGAUAGUGAAGACAGCUAACUAAGCUUAACUUGACGCUGAGGCACGAAAAGUGUGGGGGAUCAAAACAGG
rnacentral:rRNA from 1 species